AUUGAACGCUGGCGGCAGGCCUAACACAUGCAAGUCGAGCGAGCGGCGGACGGGUGAGUAAUAUAUGGGGGCUGCCCGAGAGAGGGGGAGAACGACUGGAAGCGGUAGCUAAUACCGCAUACUAUCGGAUAACCCAUAUGUGAUUAGCUAGUAGGUUAGGUAAGGGCUCACCUGGGCGACGAUCCCUAGCUGGUCUGAGAGGAUGAUCAGCCACACUGUGACGGAGACACGGCCCAGAGUCCUACGGAGGCAGCAGUGGGGAAUAUUGCACAAUGGGCGAAAGCCUGAUUCAGCCAUGCCGCGUGUAUGAAGAAGGCCCUAGGGUUGUAAAGUACUUUCAGUCGGGAGGCGUUACCGACAGAAGAAGCACCGGCUAACUCCGUGCCAGCAGCCGCGGUAAUAC
rnacentral:rRNA from 1 species